AGCAGCCGCGGUAAUUCCAGCUCCAAUAGCGUAUAUUAAAGUUGUUGCAGUUAAAAAGCUCGUAGUUGAAUUUCGAGACCGGUCUACUGGUCGUGCUUUUGUACGUACUGGUAUAAUCGGUUUCUCUCUUCUGACGAACUAUAAUGCCAUUAAUUUGGUGUUUUAGGGAAUCAGGACUGUUACUUUGAAAAAAUUAGAGUGUUUAAAGCAGGCUCACGCUUGAAUACAUUAGCAUGGAAUAACGAAAUAGGACGUUUGAUUUUAUUUUGUUGGUUUCUAGGAUCGACGUAAUGAUUAAUAGGGAUAGUUGGGGGCAUUAGUAUUCAAUUGUCAGAGGUGAAAUUCUUGGAUUUAUUGAAGACUAACUACUGCGAAAGCAUUUGCCAAGGAUGUUUUCAUUAAUCAAGAACGAAAGUUAGGGGAUCGAAGACGAUCAGAUACCGUCGUAGUCUUAACCAUAAACUAUGCCGACUAGGGAUCGGGUGAUGUUAAAUAAUGACUCAUUCGGCACCUUACGGGA
rnacentral:rRNA from 1 species